rnacentral:rRNA from 1 species
AUUGAACGCUGGCGGCAUGCUUUACACAUGCAAGUCGAACGGCAGCACGGACCUCGGUCUGGUGGCGAGUGGCGAACGGGUGAGUAAUACAUCGGAACGUACCCAGUAAUGGGGGAUAACUAUCCGAAAGGAUAGCUAAUACCGCAUACGCCCUACGGGGGAAAGAGGGGGAUCGCAAGACCUCUUGUUAUUGGACCGGCCGAUGGCUGAUUAGCUAGUUGGUGGGGUAAAGGCCUACCAAGGCAACGAUCAGUAGCGGGUCUUAGAGGACGAUCCGCCACACUGGAACUGAGACACGGUCCAGACUCCUACGGGAGGCAGCAGUGGGGAAUCUUGGACAAUGGGCGCAAGCCUGAUCCAGCAAUGCCGCGUGCGUGAAGAAGGCCUUCGGGUUGUAAAGCGCUUCUGUCAGGGAGCAAAUCCUUGUGGCUAAUACCCACCGGGGAUGAGAGUACCUGAAGAAUAAGGACCGGCUAACUACGUGCCAGCCGCCGCCGUAACAC